ensembl:antisense Bcas3os1 breast carcinoma amplified sequence 3, opposite strand 1
AUAUUCCAGAAACUUGAUGCUGGCUCCCUCAUUUUCCAUAGACCUCAUAUUUAGUCCCUAAAGAAGAAAAUGGUGACAAGAAAUUAGAAGCCCAAUGCAGUCUGUACUCUUUAUGGAUGAACUUCUCAUGUUAAAUGCAAGUAUUUACAUGGUACAUUUCUGACAAAGGAAGCCUUCCUGCAAUUGUUCCUGACUGGAAAGCUCUAUAGACAGCAUCAGUUUAUAAGUGUUUCCUUUCUGAUAUACGUUAUAGAAUACUGUAAAGAAAUUAUGAAAAUUAUAUUGAGCAAAUCAAGAAGUGGUUCAAGUUUUUGAAAACCUCAAUUUAAAGUUUAUAUAUUUUCAAAGUUGAAUAAUUUUACACUGGGGUGGGAAGUGAAGUAUAAAUAAACAUUUGCUUAAGGUACUGAGUUGUGAUAAUUUUUCAUGGAAUGAGACUGUCAGGCAGUAGCAGUUAAAUUAAUAUAUACUGUACUUAAAAAAUUAAACACUUGAGAAAUAACCUUUUUAGCCACUGGAAAAUGGCAAAGUCUGAGACAUUUCAAUCAAGUUAAUUUGGGUAUCAGAGAAAUGCAUUUUCCCACCAGAAACUAUAUGGAGAAACAAAUUAAACAAAAUGGCCCUCUGGAUGCUGGGGUAACCCUGAGCGAGGAGUGGCACGAUUGCUUGUCAAUUAGGUUAUUAUACACACACAGUCCCUCAUUUUCAAUCACGUCAGAGCUGAACGGUUGAUGGUUUAUGACAAUGAAGCAUGACUUUGCAAUUUAAAUUUUUGUUUGUUUGUUUCUUUGUUUUAACUUCCUUUUUACUCCUGGACAAAGGGUCCUGCUGUGUUUCUCAGGUUGGGUUGGCUAAUUUUUUAGCUACAAAGAGCCUCCUGCCUCAGUCCCCUGCACAGUAGCUGAGAACCACUGUAGUAGGCUCAGAAUUUCUCUUUAACAAGCACUAACCUGGAGCAACUGGUCUAAUUCAGCUAUGAGCUCUAGGAUCUUUCCCUAGCUCACCCUGGCAUGCUAAAGUUCCUAGAACAAAUUUGAGCAGUCUUGGAAAUAGAAGAAGAGGCCAGGAGAACACUUUAACCAGCUCUGAUGGUACCUCAAAGAUACCAGCAUGGAGGCAGAUUAGUUUUUCUGGCCACACUAGCUGCUGGGCUCAGUCCCAGACUUCCUGAGACAGAACAGUGGCAAUUUGGACAGGUUACUUAACUCCCACCUCCCCCAUUCCAACUUCUGUUUCUUUUACAUGUCAAGGUCUAGUCUUGGACUGGGUCCCCAACAAAUAUGCAACAAACCCUGAGAGCUGCUCAUGGCCCCAUUACACUGCAGAAGGCAGGGAAGGCAGGCAGGCUGUCCUUUUGCUUUUGUUUUCAACAACACCUUGAGACCAAGAGACAACAGCGGUAACUUUAGGAUUCCCUUAGGAGCUGAGGAUUUUUGUUGUUGUUGUUGUUGUUAAAUUAUUUAUUUUAUUUAUAUGCGAACACUGUCACUGACAUAUCAGAAAAGGGCAUCAAAUACCAUUACAGAUGGUGAUGAGCUACUGUGUGGUUACUGGGAAUUGAACUCAGAACCUCUGGAAGAGCAGUCAGUGCUCUUAACCACUGAGCCAUUUCUCCAGCCACGGGGCGGAGUUUUUUAAGGGCUAGGUUAAAGCCCUUCAUCUAAAACCAUUGAAUGUAGGCAGGCACAGAAGACCCCGAUGACUUCAGUUUGGGCACAUAAAAUUUUCUACUAAAGAGAAAAUUCCACUGACACCAGAGGGUUUGGGGGCAACUUUUUAAAAUAAGCAAUGUUAUAUAGAUCAAUAAUAUUUGAUUAAAUACUUCCUUAUAGUCUCUCGGGCUCCACCAAGAAAGAUGAAUAGCAAAUCAGAAACACCACAAAUGGGAAGUUGAUCUAACAUCCCGUUGCUUCUUGGUACAUCCUAUUGCCCGUUCAAAAUGGAGUCUCAUAAAGUCAGGUUACCUUGAAAUUCUUACAUUGAAAUGUUGGAAUUUACAAUCCUGAGCCACCAAAUGUAACUUACUAUCCUUUUCUCCUACAUGAGCGCUUGUUGCUCUUGCAGAGGACCAGCACCCACAUGGCGGCUCGCAACUGUCUGUAACUCUAAUUCCUGGGGAUCUGACGCCCUCUUCUGGACUGCACAGGCACUGCAUUCAUAUAACAUCCAUGCACUCAGGGCUGGGACUGCAGGCAUGUACCAUGUGUCACUGUGACCAGUACAUGGAAUUCUGAGGCUUAAAACCAAGAAUUCCCGCACAGUGGGCUGAAGGCUGAAGCGGGACGGUGAGCUCUAGGCCAGCCUGGACUACACAGUGAAGCCCAGCUUAAAAAAGAAAAAAUGGCCAGUGUCUCAAAGAAGACUGAGCUUCUGGCAGCGGGCACCUAUAUCCUUGUGACUUCAGACAGCUUGAACUCAUGAGCUCUACUCAGCUGACCUGUUAUAAUUGUCUGAUGUUCUGAAUAUGGCCACAGCACCAAGGAACCCUGCCUGAGACUUCAGCUCAGACUUCAGGCAACUGUGUUACAGCUCGCACCAAUGAUACCGUACAUCUGACACGUUCUGCUCUUACAGAAACAUAAUUGUUUAAUUAGAGAAAACAAACAUUUUAAUAUUUUCCUACUAUCAUUCUUUAACAUACAAGUACAAAUUAAUCUGUGUUUAAACUCUGUUAUGUUAGAACAUUUUUAAAUGAAUAUUUUUUUAAAAAAAGAAUAUUUUCAUUUUAAAAUGAAAAUUAAAAAAAAUUAAAGGUGCUGAAUUGAAUCG